rnacentral:rRNA from 1 species
AAACUGAAGAGUUUGAUCAUGGCUCAGAUUGAACGCUGGCGGCAGGCCUAACACAUGCAAGUCGAGCGGUAACAGGGGUAGCUUGCUACCCGCUGACGAGCGGCGGACGGGUGAGUAAUGCAUAGGAAUCUGCCCGGUAGUGGGGGAUAACCUGGGGAAACCCAGGCUAAUACCGCAUACGUCCUACGGGAGAAAGGGGGCUCCGGCUCCCGCUAUUGGAUGAGCCUAUGUCGGAUUAGCUAGUUGGUAAGGUAAUGGCUUACCAAGGCAACGAUCCGUAGCUGGUCUGAGAGGAUGAUCAGCCACAUCGGGACUGAGACACGGCCCGAACUCCUACGGGAGGCAGCAGUGGGGAAUAUUGGACAAUGGGGGCAACCCUGAUCCAGCCAUGCCGCGUGUGUGAAGAAGGCCCUCGGGUUGUAAAGCACUUUCAGCGAGGAAGAACGCCUGGUGGUUAAUACCCAUCAGGAAAGACAUCACUCGCAGAAGAAGCACCGGCUAACUCCGUGCCAGCAGCCGCGGUAAUACGGAGGGUGCAAGCGUUAAUCGGAAUUACUGGGCGUAAAGCGCGCGUA